UACGUAGGUGGCAAGCGUUAUCCGGAUUUAUUGGGCGUAAAGAGAACGCAGGCGGUCUUUUAAGUCUGAUGUGAAAGCCUUCGGCUUAACCGGAGUAGUGCAUUGGAAACUGGGAGACUUGAGUGCAGAAGAGGAGAGUGGAACUCCAUGUGUAGCGGUGAAAUGCGUAGAUAUAUGGAAGAACACCAAUGGCGAAAGCGGCUCUCUGGUCUGUAACUGACGCUGAGGUUCGAAAGCGUGGGUAGCAAACAGG
rnacentral:rRNA from 1 species